GAUCCUGGCUCAGGAUGAACGCUAGCUACAGGCUUAACACAUGCAAGUCGAGGGGCAUCAGGGUGUAGCAAUACACCGCUGGCGACCGGCGCACGGGUGAGUAACACGUAUCCAACCUGCCCUUUACUCGGGGAUAGCCUUUCGAAAGAAAGAUUAAUACCCGAUGGUAUAACAUGACCUCCUGGUUUUGUUUAUUAAAGAAUUUCGGUAGAGGAUGGGGAGUGCGUUCCAUUAGGCAGUUGGCGGGGGUAACGGGCCC
rnacentral:rRNA from 1 species